UUAGGUCUCAGCAAAACCAGUUCUUGCUGGGGUUCUGGUAAGAGCAGCUUGGAGGGUGUUUGUGUCAGCCAGAGAAGGGCAGAUCUGGCUUUCCAAGGAAUGGAAACUUUCAGAGGAAAUUAUAAUUCUCAUCUGAUGCAAAAUUGAGAGCACUUUGGAUUUAUCGAUGGAAAAUACCCUGUUUUAGCAAAGAAAAAUCUAAAAACUUUAAUUUCCUCUUCCCCUCCCUCACACACACACACAAUUUGUAGUAGCACAGCAGAUUUGUCUCUUGGUUCAGUGUCUUCCAGCUGCCUAUUGGACUCCUUAGAAGGAAAGGCCAUGCUUCCUACCUUAUGGUGUAGACCUGUGAAUACCCACGUACCUUUGUCUAAGAGCAAGUACCUGCAGCUUCCCCCUCUUCUAUGGCAGAGCUGUAUCCUUCAUGUCAGCAGCAUCACAGACGAGGCAUCUGAGUUGCCUGGUCCCUUGCCAGGCACACAUGAAAGAUUAUGUACUUGGUGUACUGCUAAAGCAGAGAGACACAGACUGUCAGAGCAGCAAGAGUGCUGGAGACACUGAUGCUGCUUCUCAGUUCUUCAAGAGGUUGGGAAGGUUCAAGAAAUGGAGGUUAAAACCAGGUGAAGGCUGGACAGAAAAGGCAAAACAGGAACAGUGAUUUGACACAGAGCAGGUGACAGUGCUCAACCGGAGACACAGAGCAAGGCUGUGGAGGUGCACUGGGGACUGUGAGAAGCACUCAAACCCAAGAAUGCCUUGACUUAAAGCUCUAAAAGUGCUGGCUUCUGAGCACGUAUAACCUUUCCAAGGAGGAAAGGACUGCAUCGCCUGGUUGAAAGCAUCCCACCGUCAGAAAUCCCAUGUUUCUAAGAUGCCCUGGGAUAAUUGAUGCUCGCCUCCUGCCAAGUGCAGGGUGCCACACCUGGAAAGGCAUGCCACAGGAGCCACAUGCUAGACACCAAUAGCAACCCCCCUAUUUUGGGGUGACGGGAGAGACCGCGUUGGCCAGUUUGUCCUCUCGUGAGCAUAGAGAAGUGUCAGACCUGUAACAAGACUGCCUGUCCAACACUGCACCAGGCACAAAAGAUGCUGGAUGCCUGGUAAAUGUGAAGUGCAAGUUGUGCCUGAGCAAGUGGUCCCUCAGGAAAUACUGGGGGGCUCUUUGUGAAGGAGCACUCAGCCUGCUGUAGUUCACUUGAUGAUGGUGUUGACCUGGAGUUCAGAUGGCCAGCUCCUGACCUAGGGAACUGUGUUGUGUCCUGCCAGCGCUUUGUGAGAACCAGUGCAGCAAAGUCAAACCAUGAGGGUCCUUGCAGCAGUAACCCUAUGGUUGCACUGGUCCUGCUGUACCCAGGGCUGCUCUCUGGUCCAUCCAGAGAACAACUCAUGAGAGUACAAGGAGAGGAGAAAGUGUUGCCUUGCAGGAUUUAUCUUCACUGGUGCAUGUAUGCAGGGCUACUGCAGACAGCAUUGUCUAGCAAAACACCUGCUGAGUGAGUAGGUGCUGAUGCUGCUGCCAAGCCACUCUCCUCACCUCCAGGAGCCUCCCUUCCCACCUGUGCCCUGUGCAAAACAGUAUCUCCCACCUCCCUCCCAUCAAUCAAGGUGCAAGAUUUUAUUAGCAAAGCUGCUCAGAUGAGCAAGAAGGAUGGAGCAAGGCGGAAAAAAACACCCUGAAGAGACUGAGAGGCAGGAGUCAACUAACCUGAAGUGAAGGAGGAAAGCCUGCAGGAUUCCCAGUGCACUUGUGGAAAAGAAAGGUUUCUCACCGUGGGCCUGCUCUCCGCCAGCUGCCAUGCAGAUGUUGAUGUGCUUGCUGCCACCUCAAGGAAAAGGAAGAGCAAGAGGAGAGGCAGCAAGUGGGAGCAGCACACCAUGCCCAUUCACAGCCAUCAUGGUGUCGCAUUGAGAAGAUGGUCUUGUCUAUGCUUGCCACCCACUUCUGUUUGCAUGGGAAACACUGACCUAUGAAAUUGCAAUGAGUGAGAAAGGACAGGAGGGAGACCAGGUGUGAGAAAAGCAGACACAAGCAAUCAGGGUAGAGCAUUGUUGGGCACCAGCAGGAGAGGUGGCCAAAUGGGAGCCCAUCCGGGUAGGAGGCAGCAGAAAGAUGUGGCCAUUCAUUUCCCACUGAGGCAUCCUGCCAGUUGCGCACAGGAACCCUUUGCAUGGGAAAAUUAUCAGAGAACAAACCCAGCUCCUAAUCCACUCCUCAGGGCACUCCCAAGCCUCCUCAGCACAAGUGAUGCCAGGGAGAACACCAGAGGUACUGGCCCUGCAUCAAGCAACCAGCAAAGGGGACAGGAAGAAGAUGGGAAAAGGUCAUCAUUAAAGAAAUGUAAAACACUGCUCCGCUUCUCAUCGAAUCUCUUCUUUUUCAUUCCAUUUCUUAAUUUGGAGAAGAAACCCUCUCAUUUGGAGUGCACCAUAUGGUUGCAGAUCACCAAAAUGGAAAAGUCGAUAUCAUCCGACCUUUAGAAGCAGAUGCCCUGGUUUCCCACAGGCAGGGUGCUCAACAACAGGCACACAGCAACUACCUUACAUACAUCUUUCAAGAGCUUUCAUGACAAAAUUGGGCUUGUACUUCCCAAAGCAGUAAGCAAGGUAUGUGGGCUGGGGAUGAUGACUCUGUGUAUAAACUGUAUCUUCACCCUUCCCACCUACCAGUCCCUCCUGGUCACUGCUCUGGCCCUAUGCUAGGACAAGAAUUGCUACCAGGCAUUGUCUGGGAUGCCUUGUCUAUGCAUUAUUUGCCUGCCUUGAUGAUACAGCCUGUUUCUUCAGGCUAUCUGAGAAUGACACUUUUUAGGGACCUUCACCAUGGCCACAAGCUUGUCUUUUCUUACACUUCAUAGUUUUUGGCCUCUCCACAUCUGCUAUGUAGUGCUGAGAAAUGCAUGGCCUUUGGUUGAGUAUGUGAAGGGGUCUCCCUGUGCCUAUCUCAGAUUGGACCUCUUAACCACAGGUCUGGUUUUUGUUGUUGUUUUCUCCAGUCUUAUACUUUGAAGCAACAUCUUGUUGCUUGGUAAGGCCAAGAAAGCCUUUCCUGUAAAUUUGCAGUCUGCUUCGCUGCAGCUGUACUUUAAGUGUGACUGCAGCAGGCCCCUCUCCUUCCCAUGUGUACACUUCCCCAUCCCCAUUGCAGGUGGCUCUGUGAGCAUCUCUUGCCCCACUGCUUCCUAAUGGCAAGUGUGUAGCUCCCAGUGCUACGGCAGCUCUCAGUCAGGCAGAAGAAAGCCAAGCUUCCUCAGAACCAGCCUUGGACAUGGGGGUAAAGCCACUCAGGCAUUCAAGUGGAUCAGGUUUGAUACAGCUGAUCAAGUGUGCUGCAGUGCAGAGCAUCUGGCUGGAUGUAGAGCCACUGCUUUGCCUAACAUGCCAGGUCACCUUCAUGCCAGGUCUUCCCCACCUGUAGAGGCAGUGGGCCAGAUGAUGCUGGGCAGCAAGAGGGGGUCAUACCCAUUUAGGGUGAGGCAUCUCACCCACCAGCUGGAGUUAGGAUUUUUGAAACUUUUCUGCCAUAUCCCUAACCCCAAACCCAUCCACUUCUGUGGAUGUUGCACACAGGUGCACUCUGCCUCAUCCCCAGGCAACAUUCCCUACCUCAGCAAUUCACUGAACAAGUCAUGUCCUCAUGUCCCUACACCUAGGCUCCUCUGUCUUCAUCUGUUGUAGCCCCCUGUCUUUAUUAUGCAUCUCUCCCCUCUCUUCCUGUCCCCUUGUGUUAGGCACGUUGGGGUGAAUCCCAUCCCUUGUGGCAAACCCCUUACCUUUAGCAAGCAGAGGGCUCGCAGUUAUUUACCAGGGAAAGGGUAAGCCACAGCAUUUAUAUAAAACAUAUUAAUAAUUUUGCCCUUUCUCUCCACAUUUACCAAAUUGAUUUUUGAACUGCUAGCAGUUGUAUUGCAAUAAAUAUAGUUGAAAUCCA